AUUGAACGCUGGCGGCAGGCCUAACACAUGCAAGUCGAGCGGAUGAAGGGAGCUUGCUCCUGGAUUCAGCGGCGGACGGGUGAGUAAUGCCUAGGAAUCUGCCUGGUAGUGGGGGAUAACGUCCGGAAACAGGCGCUAAUACCGCAUACGUCCUGAGGGAGAAAGUGGGGGAUCUUCGGACCUCACGCUAUCAGAUGAGCCUAGGUCGGAUUAGCUAGUUGGUGGGGUAAAGGCCUACCAAGGCGACGAUCCGUAACUGGUCUGAGAGGAUGAUCAGUCACACUGGAACUGAGACACGGCCCAGACUCCUACGGGAGGCAGCAGUGGGGAAUAUUGGACAAUGGGCGAAAGCCUGAUCCAGCCAUGCCGCGUGUGUGAAGAAGGUCUUCGGAUUGUAAAGCACUUUAAGUUGGGAGGAAGGGCAGUAAGUUAAUACCUUGCUGUUUUGACGUUACCAACAGAAUAAGCACCGGCUAACUUCGUG
rnacentral:rRNA from 1 species